AAGUACUUUAGUAACUACCCUGCCAAGUCCAAAUCCAAUGAAUGAAUUGUUUUCCUAACAUUAUGAGGCAGCCUCACAAAUCUGUCAAUGCAUACAAGAGGAAGUGAGGGAUCCUAAUUCCAAAGGCAAGCUUAGAAGGUGAGGCAAUAUUUCCUUCGGAAACUACUGGUGGUUAGAACUGAUACAUGAUUGGAACAUUAUGUUUUAAUUUUUGUGCGCAUAAAUUUUUUAGAACCCACCAAAAGUAUAGCAACGUUAGUGAAGGAAGAGAACCAGGGUAAAGAUGCAAUACCAAAAUGACUGUAAGGUUGCUCUGGAUGCAUAUGAUUCCAGCUCUGAUCAUUGUCGUUAUCAAACAUUUGUGCGGUGUUAAAUAUAUGUCUAUGAUCCAUAUGCAACCUCGAAGUUCAAGAUAAUUUAUGUUUUGAACCCUGCACAUAAACAUAAUCCCAUAAAUCAAAGUCAUUCCAGCAGAAAUGACUCAGAUGCAAUAUAAAUGUAUGCUUCCAUGACUCCAUUGGAUUUAUCAGUACAAAAGCACUAGGUCUGUUGCCUUUUAUAUAGCAAAAGGACUCGAUUAUACUUUAGCAAAGAAUACAUAACAGACAAGGAAUCAACAAUAACUGCUUAAAAUACAAGUCAACAAAGGAGUUCAGUAAGUACAGUGUGUAGUAUAGUAGGGAAACGAAUAGCAAUCUUCAAUUAACAAGCCUUUCUGAGAAUUCAUGGAAAGCAGCUAAGAAAAGGAAGCUUGCAUUUGAUAUUUGAAGAAAAUUUCUAGUCUCUCACAUGGAUGAGAGAUAUAAAUCUCCUCUUAUCCCUAACUUCCGUAUAAAUUCAAGUACAUUCCUAAAUUAUUAAAACGUUUUAUGUUAGAGUAUUAUGUAAUGUACUACAUAUUUGGACUUCAGAAUUUCUUCUCAUACAUGUAAGCUUAUAUCUAUAUCCACGUAUGCAUACACAUAUCCCCUAUUAUAGGAUGAUGUUAUAGGGAUGUCCAGAGAACUAGAAGAACCGUUAACCAGACCAGACCGAACCGCAUGGGUUGGUCUAGUUCUACAGUCUAAAUGGUCUAGUUUUGGUUCUCAAAAAUAGAGAGCCGGUCUAUAAAGCUUGGUUCGGGUUUUUUAUUCCAUAACCGUGAUUCGAACAAGUCCGACCGGUUUUUAUAGGUCUAUAUAUGUGUAUAAGUUGAACCCUUCCUAACCAUAAUUUCUGUUGCCACGCUAUAUAAAGUUCUCACUUCUCCUUUCACUUCUAUCUUGGGUUUUAAUCUGUGCAUGUUUUGUUUAGUUUCUUCUGGUGGACUUUGAUGUUAAUCACAGCUCAAUAGAGUUAAGGAAAAAGUAAAAACUAAAGUGGUUAUCAAAAUUAAAGGGUAAAGUCCACUUUGCACCCUUACAUUUUGACUAAAAAGACACUUUGCACCCCACACCUCAAGAGUGGACAAUCAACACCAUACAUUUUGAGUCAAUGUCAGCUCUCCCCCUUCCAUCAGACUCUCAUCGAAAAACCAAACGGAAGGAUAUCAAGUGAGGCUUAGCCCCCAUUUUUUGGGGUAUUAUAUAUAGUUUCACUGUUUUAUUCCCACUUAAUCAUAUGUCAUUCUAUUUGGACCCAAAAACUUUUUCUUAGCCCCAAUUUUUUUUUUUUUGAUAAAUUUCACUGCCUUCCCUAAGGUCAGUACGCUUUGAUUAAGAGUACUUAAAAAGUAAACUAUUUAGAUCAAUCACUUUUUUUAUAAUGAAUUUGGAUAACAAAGUUUUAUUUUUUAACAGUACUUAAAAUGUAAACUAUUUAAAUCAAUCUUUUUGUUAAAAAUUACUUAUUGAUAAAAAAAAGUAGAGUUGUUUAUAAAUAAUUGAUGUUUUGAGAAAAAAGAUAAUGUUUAUUCAUUUUAAUUGGUGUAUUCAGAAAAAAAAAAUAGAAUACUUAAAUUUAAGGGCAAUCUUACCAUUUUUUCCAAAAAACAAUUAGCUAUAAUGGAGAAUCUUGAUAGUAGUGUCAAAAGUAAGGAAGGUCAGUGCUACCUCAGAAACUACAAGAGAGGUGGUUGUAAUUGUCAGAAACCUCAAGGAAGGUCAAUUAAAUUUACCCAAAAAAAAUUGGGGCCAGAGAGAAAUUUCUUGGGUACAACUAAAAUGACACGUAAUUGAGUAGGAACAAAACAGUGAAAUUACCUAUAACGUCCCCCAAAAUGGGGUCUGAGCCUCACUUGUUGUCCUUCCGUUUGAUUUUUGGACAUAAUGGGAGAGAGCAAACCUUGACUCAAAGUAUAUGGUGUUAAUUGUCCACUUUUGAGGUGUAGGAUGCAAAGUGUCUUUUUAGUGCAAGGGGGCAAACUGGACUUUACCCAAAUUAAAAAUAAAAAGUUAGGCAUUUAUGUAGAGGUAAUUAACCCCAAGGGGUUAGCGAGAGUGGUAGUCACCAGGCCUUUAGUCUGGGAUUCGACUCUACCCGUGUGCUAUCAAUUCCUUUGUUUGGCUAGUCCAUACGGGGCUUUGCCUUGACUUUAAAUGGGCUCCCUGCUUGUGGACGGUGGGAUUGAUAAUUCCACCGGAUUAGUCAGUCUAGUGGACCGGUUACCAAGUUAUCAAAAAAAAUGUUAUGUAGAGGUAAUUCGGGAAUACGAACGGAGCUUCAUCAACACCAACUUGGGUUCUCCCUCGUGUUAAAAUUUGGAUGUUCGGUUUAAUAUGUCAUGUUACUGACAUUGCCAAUAGGUUAGAACCAGAACUAAAGGUCAACGGUUCGGAUUAGUUCCCAAUUAUGUGGAACUAUUAUACACCCCAUGGUUAUGUAAUAUAUUUUGAAGUUCAAAAUUUGUCCACAUAUUUGAACCCGAUACUCAAUCCAAUCCAAGUCUAUGUAACAUAGUGAGCAAAUAGCUGUAACCUAUCAUCAUUAUUAUGUAACCAAGGAGAUAUGAAAUGCAACAUCGACCCCAACAGCAGGAUGGACAAAAACAUAACAGGAACAACCUUCUCCCACAUGUUUUUUCCAAGCUACGAGGGCUACAAUUUUUGUUCCUGCACAAUGAAUAAAAUGUUCUAGCAAGUUUACAAACUCUAUGCCAAAAUCAAAGAUGAAAAUCUUUUCAAGCAGAUCAGAACUAACCUUUUAAAAAUACAAAGCAAUAGGAAACAACUAUAAACAAUGAAAAGCGCAAUCUGAUUUCAGAGAUUCAAUCAGGGAAACUACUGCUUUCCACAAUAUGGUUAUGAUCAGUUAAUGGACUUGCUGGAAAGUAUUCUUGCCUCUAUCAUUAGCUCAGGUAGUCGUCGUGUCUGGUGUUUUAGACCUUCAUUGGCUCACCUCAACUACAGAAAGUAAAAUCCUAGACCUAUAGAAUCCACUAUGGUCUUAUUGUCACCAAGUUAGGAAGAUGAAGAGGAUAAACUGUAACCAUAAAACAAUAAAGUCUCGCGUUACUAAAUGAUAAGGUAUAAAAUCAAGCACACGGGCGCACACGUAGAGAUAGAAAGAGAGAGCACAUACCAGUCCUUGAAUGAAUGAUUUUGGAAAGGCAGCUGAAGUGAA
rnacentral:lncRNA from 1 species